ACAGCAGUCGCCGCGGUAAUACGAACCGUGCGAACGUUAUUCGGAAUCACUGGGCUUAAAGCGCGUGUAGGUGGGCCACCACGUCGGCUGCUGAAAUCCCCCGGCUCAACCGGGGAACGGGCACCGAUACGAGUGGCCUUGAGGGGGGUAGGGGGACCUGGAACUUCCGGUGGAGCGGUGAAAUGCGUUGAGAUCGGAAGGAACGCCCGUGGCGAAAGCGAGGUCCUGGACCCUUUCUGACACUGAGACGCGAAAGCCAGGGGAGCAAACAGGAUUAGAGACCCCUGUAGUCCCUGUCUCUUAUA
rnacentral:rRNA from 1 species